rnacentral:lncRNA from 1 species
AUCUAUAUUAAUGAUUGUAUGCAUGCACAGUUAAGAAAAAACGAAAACAUAAAUAAUUAUAAUAAUAUAAAUUAUAUACAUUCGAAUGACAUGAAUUUGAGUUAUAAUAUUCAUAAUAAUAAUUUUAAAGUCAAUAGUAGUAAUAAUUAUGUUGAUAAUAAAAAUUAUAUUAAUUAUAAUAACAAUAGUAACAGUUACUAUAAUAAGGACAAUGAUAUAGCUAAAAUAAAAAACGAAAAGCUGAAUAAUUAUACACGUAAAUUAUAUAAUAAUUAUAUUCAUAUAUAUGAACAUAUUAAAACACAGUUUCAUAAUUAUGAAGAAAAUAAAAAAAAUAACAAUAGUGACAAUGUUAAUUAUUGUAACAAUAAUUAUAAUAGUGAUGAUUGUAUGAGUAAUAAUACAGCUACUGUUACUGGACAUACAGCUACCUACAAUUCGAAUGAAAAAGUAUAUGAUAAUACUCCAUUAUUAAAUGCAUAUAAAUCUAAUAAAAUACCUCUGUAUAAUUAUGAUGAAAAAUUAAGUAACUCUUGUCGUUUUUUUAUUACCGUAAAUAAUCCCUANNNNNNNNNNUAUAGUUACAAUAGUAAUAGAAAUUACAAUAACAAUAGUAUCUAUAUUAAUGAUUGUAUGCAUGCACAGUUAAGAAAAAACGAAAACAUAAAUAAUUAUAAUAAUAUAAAUUAUAUACAUUCGAAUGACAUGAAUUUGAGUUAUAAUAUUCAUAAUAAUAAUUUUAAAGUCAAUAGUAGUAAUAAUUAUGUUGAUAAUAAAAAUUAUAUUAAUUAUAAUAACAAUAGUAACAGUUACUAUAAUAAGGACAAUGAUAUAGCUAAAAUAAAAAACGAAAAGCUGAAUAAUUAUACACGUAAAUUAUAUAAUAAUUAUAUUCAUAUAUAUGAACAUAUUAAAACACAGUUUCAUAAUUAUGAAGAAAAUAAAAAAAAUAACAAUAGUGACAAUGUUAAUUAUUGUAACAAUAAUUAUAAUAGUGAUGAUUGUAUGAGUAAUAAUACAGCUACUGUUACUGGACAUACAGCUACCUACAAUUCGAAUGAAAAAGUAUAUGAUAAUACUCCAUUAUUAAAUGCAUAUAAAUCUAAUAAAAUACCUCUGUAUAAUUAUGAUGAAAAAUUAAGUAACUCUUGUCGUUUUUUU